rnacentral:miRNA from 1 species
GCACAAAUAGUAAUAUGUGUGGAGCUCUUGUAAUGAAACACUAUUCUGGGGCUGGAGAGAUGGCUAGGCUCACAACCAAAAAUCUA